rnacentral:lncRNA from 1 species
UUACAACGAAGGUUUCUCUCCAAACUCAGGGUGUGUGAAAACAGCCCUUCACACAAUACAAAUAAUUCUAACCACCAAGACAAGUGGAUAGAGACUCUGGACACAGCUAUGCGUUGAAGCAGAGCGAACAUGAAGGGGGCUCCCAAGAAGGCUGUGGAGAGGAUCUUGUUCACUGCAUCUACUUCCUCACUGCUGCUGGAAGUUCCACCACUACAGCACAGUUCACAGACCUCAGUGCACGACAUUAAGGGGGAAAAGGCUAACAGAGGAAGGUCCAACCCAGCCAAUGUUCACCAGUAAAAGGUGAUUUAUUAGGAGAAAAAUAGAACAGCCUGCCUCCAAUUGACAGCCCUUGCAACCAGAUCCGCAAUUAAAGCUGAACUGUGCAAUCUUUGCAUUUAAAGGAAAAUCAAUGGCAUCGAUUGAAUCAAGCAAAAUAAAAAACACCACCAAGGGCAAAGAUAUGGAAGAAUGAGAGUCUGUGCAUUUCAGAUGAGAAAACUGAAGCAUGAGAGAGUAAGCAGCUGGCCAAGAUUACAUAGUGAGUAAGGAGAGCUGGAUUCAACUGUAGCUCCAGAACCUGUUCUCUUAACCACACUGUACCACCCCUUGAUGCAAAGGGUACAUUCUGGACAGUUUAUUGUUGAGUGAUAUGCAUGCUGUGCAUCUUUAAGGGAGAAAAAUGCUAUUCUAUUUUUAAGACAAUAUUCUUUUUAAGAGUAUAAGUAGUCUAUAUAAUUUAUCUUUAGGGAAUUAUUUCUAGUGAAUUGAUUAAAACAUGGCUUGUAUUCUGCCCGAGAUUGGUUUAAUUAUAUCAGCACAGCUGCAAGGAGCAAAGAUGAGAGAUGGCCUAUGAUGCUUUGUUGACUUUUUUUUUUUUUUUUUUUUACUUUGGGAAUGAUCUGUCCAGGUACUCUGAUUUUGAAGACAGCUCUCCCUGGAAAUCCUCUGGACAAGAGAACUCAUAUUUUCACACCCUAUAACCUUUCCAUUGCAAAAGGCAAACCUUCCCUCCCAAUAUCAGCUCUUCCCCACACCCUUUCUUCUCCAUGCCCUUGAAACUAGCAGCUCCAGAAUUUCACAGUCAGCCCAGCCUUCGUGCUGGUUUCAAUGGCUGCUGCUCUUCUUAAAACCUAUAAUAUUGGCACGCCACAAUGGACUCAAUAAACAAGAACAGUCUGAAAGGAAUAGAUGAGACAGGGACUCAAUAUUUUCCCCUAGAUGGUUCUAAAAUACCCUCCACACCAUGUGUGUCUUUUUGUUCAUAGAUGUGUGUGUAUGUGUGUGCCUAAAUAGCCAAAUCUCACCUGUCUCAGAACAUUUAUUUUUUCUAUUAUAUCCUGCAAGUUGUAACACCAAGAUGAAGAGGGAGAUAUAAAAGGAGCUGCUUUUUUGGAGCUGAUAUACUUUUGGCCAAAGCUUAUAGAUUCUUAGUCAUGUAUAAAUCUCAUUCCAAUGUAGGGCUUUCAUGACUAUAAACACUUUUCUGCCUUUCUUUUCAUUCAAAAUCUGAGUUUAACUCAUUGAGUUUAACCACAUUUUACUUUAAUCUGUUCCCUACAAACUAUAAGCUUCAUUUAUUCAUUCAAGAAAUAUUUAUUGAUCCCCUAUUAUGUACUAGCCUGUAUAGGAUGCUGGGGACCAUUAGGUGGGCAAAAUAGAAGCUAAUAGGAGAUAAUUGCCCUUCAUGAGGCCUGUAGUCUUAGUGGCAGAGACAAAUAUAAUAAAGGGGCAUGCAUUAAUUGUUAAAUAAUUCAAUUUGGGAUAUGUUCCACUCCAGUGGACUUCUGAUUUUGCAUCUCCAGCAUUUAUUUACUGUUACAAAUAGCAGCCAGCACUUUCCUUUUCUUUUUCUUUCAUUUUGUAAACUACCUCAGCCACUUAUAGGUGGUAUGGUUUGGGGCUCUUCCCAGGCUCUAAGGGUGCACAAAUGUUCUAGACAUCGCCACCAACCUCUGUGAUUAGUUCCAAAAUGAGCAGGUGACCGAGAUCUAUCCAGCGACAAGACUAUCAUGGGAACUAUUGGUGCAGAAAUGCUCUGCCAAAGGUCUCCCUGAAAACUGAGCCAAGAUAAGAAUGAUGAAUGGCCAAGAAGAAAGCAGGCUGGAAAUAUGUCCAUCAGUGGAGUCUUCAUGAUGUGAAUCCAGCUGGGCCUGAAGUUAUCUAACUUUAGUCUUCUUGGUUACACCACUCAAUAUGGUUUUUUUCCCUUAAAUCAAUGUGAUUGGAUUUCUUUCCCUUGCCAUCAAAAACACCUUGACUAAACACAGCCACUAGGGGAAAGUGCAGGAUGAUGUGAGAGAAUAUGACGCAAGUCUUGGUUUUAUUCAUAAUUGUUCUAAACUCUGAAGUAUGAAUAGCAGUGAGCAAGCUGAGAAAGAAGUAGACAUGAAGUUAGGAACAAUGUCUGAGCCUGUUCAUGGCUCUUUCCCCCGAUGCCUUCCACUCCAGAGUAUGUGUUUAAUAACUGACAUGGCUUUUCUGUGUCCCCACCCAAAUCUCACUUUGAAUUGUAAUAAUCCCCACAUAUCAAAGGUGGGGCCAGGUGGAGAUAAUCGAAUCAUGGGGGUGGUUUCCCCCAUACUGUUGUCGUGGUAGUGAAUAAGUCUCAUGUGAUCUGAUGGUUUUAUAAAUGGGAGUUCCCCUGCACACGCACUCUUAACUGCUGCCAUGUAAGACAUAACUUUGCUCCUCAUUUGCCUUCUGCCAUGAUUGUGAGGCCUCCCUAGCCAUGUAGAACGGUGAGUCAAUUAAACCUCUUUUCUUCAUAAAUUAUCCAGUGGAUAUGGUUUGGCUGUGUCUCCACCCAAAUCUCAUCUUGAAUUGUAACUCUCACGAUUCCCAUGUGUCAUGGGAGGAACCUGGUGGGAGGUGAUUGAAUUAUGGGGUGAGUCUUUCCUGCACUGUUCUUGUGAUAUUGAAUGCGUAUCAUGAGAUCUGAUGGUUUUAAAAAUGGGAGUUUAUGUUUAAAAGCUCCCUGUUGCCUGCCUCCAUCCAUGUUGGAUAUGACCUGCUCCUCCUUGCCUUCUGCCAUGAUUGUGAGGCCUCCCCAGCCAUGUGGAACUAUAAGUCCAUUAAACUUCUUUUUCUUCCCA